UCCAGAGUAGCUCAAUGGUGGAGCAUUCGGCUGUUAACCGACAGGUUGGAGGUUCGAGUCCUCUCUCUGGAGCCA
rnacentral:tRNA from 2 species